CCAGAUUCUACAUAUGUUGGCGAAGUUUUGCUGUUAAAUGGCUUUAUAGGGAGUGUUCUGUCAGAUUACUUGUGGUAUGUUCCACAGUUGCCAAUUAUUUUUGCUUGAUUGGACACUGUGAUGACUCAACAUGUUUUGAUUUUCAUAUUGAAAAUCUAAUAUGGGAAACAAAAACAGCGGGGCACUUUCUGUGAUUUGGACGACUCCGCUGGUUGCGACAUUGGGCGUUUCCUUGACAAUACCCCUUGCAAUGGUAGCUGACAUGGUUAUACAUGGCCGU
rnacentral:misc_RNA from 1 species